GAAGGCAAAUGAGAGGUGUGUUUAAAUCCUAAACAUUAAGCCUUCUUUUAUAGGGGUUAAUCCUCCAACCCUUCUCUUCCCACCGAUGCGGGACAAAUAGUUUUGCCAAAUUCAACAGUUAUAAUCUCCAAUCACUUCAAGUGAAAAGAAAGCCUUCCUUCCUCUCUCUGCUGCCUAUCUGUGGUUGCGGUAAUAAUCUCGAACCUCUUCCAGAAUCAGCGUUGCCCUCCUCCCUCUCUAAGCUGAGUAUCUACGAUUGCCCUAAACUCCAAUCUCUUCCAGCAAAAGGGAUGCCCUCUUCCAUCUCUGAACUACAUAUUCGCAGCUGCCCAUUGCUGGAACCACUCCUAGAAUUUGAGAAAGGGGAUUACUGGCCAAAUAUUGCUCAUAUUCCCAAAAUAUAUAUCGAUGGGGAACACCUGUGAUGACUCAAACGAAGGUGCUUAAACAGAUUGAGUUGAGCGAGGAGGCCGUGGUUUAGAGUAAUGCAUGUCCACUAUAGAAUUCAAAGCUAUUAACGCUCUUAGCUCCAUUGGUGAAUGGAAAGUUGCGCUGAAUGUGGUCUGUCAGCAAAGUGGAAUGAAGUUUUAUCGCUGCUGGAAGAAGGACUUCCCUCGUCUCUUUCUGACCUAAGAAUAGGUCUUUGGUGCCUCACUUCACUUCAACAUCUAGAAAGAGCCUCCUACUAUCGAUUCCAUUACCAAUUUCUGAGUUUUUCAAUCUUCUGUUCGUUGUUCUUAAACCCCAGUCAAUUCAUGGAAUCACAAGGAAGAUCACGAAUGGUCGGAAACUAGCAAUCUCUAUGUCACAAUCAGCUACUUUUUUCAUCAAGCUUGGAAAGCAAAAUAUAUGGAUGAAGAUCUCCAAACUCAGUUCUUUUUCAUCACGUAUUGCUUUGUUCAUUUUGAUCUUUGAGUUUCUAACCACCCUGUAUUCAAUAGGUAAUACUGAUGAUUUUCAAAUUGCUUGUUACCUCUGCCUUUUGAUAGUUAACGCUAAUGCAAUUUAUCAGCCAUUGGCAGUGUAGUUUAAAGGAUGAGCAGGGAAGUCAAAUUGUCAAAAAUAAUAUCUCAUAUACUUCUUCUACUUCAUUGUCAACCCGCCCCACACUCA